GAACCGCUGAUCUGUACCAUAAGUCAUCCUUGCGGGGGUUGUCGGAACUGUAUGCGCAGUCGCACUAAGGACAGAUGUGCUCAGAGGCAUGCCCCGUAACGCGUAUAGAGCAGUCUGUCGCGGCAGGAAUAAGUUGUACAAAGUCCAUGUAAGUUACGAUAAUACUUUGAUAAGUAUGAUAAGUGUGUUUCUAAUGUAAGGUAUGUUGCUGCGUUUGUAUUGUGAGCUAUCUGAAAACCUUUUUAUUCUGUAUUUACGUUACUUACAUCCAUGUGCUAUUUUUUAGCUAGACAUGUGUGUCAUGCAAGCUAGCAGCACCCCAUGAGAAACGGGCCGAAGUGUUUAAGUGUUUACCGGAGUUUUGCACCCUUGGCAAGCGGACUGAGGUAUGUGAUGAGAGAUGAUCUGUUGUUAUAUUUUAUUUAACUGAACUGUGUAAUCCCUUGAUGCUGUUUGAAGUAACCCCUUUUGUUUUAUUUAAUCUGUGACUGUAUAUCUCAGAAUUACUUGUUUGAACUUGCCUGAAUUAACUUAAGCUCAUUGUUGUUAUUGCUCAUUGUUAUAGUUCAAAAAGUACUGUACGGGUAUCAAUUUUUUCUUAUUUUAUAGUUUUCACGGUGCUCAACGUCCAGAGAAUGAGCCGUGUGUGGUGAGGAAAUAAAUGGCUGCACCCGUUAGAGACUCUUCUGUCGUUCUUGAUGCCAAGGGCUGCUACAGUGAAAACUCAUCGCUGCCUUGCAGCCAUCUACACUCAUCUUAUUCUUUCGUCGAACUGUGAGUAAAGGAGUGUAUCGCAUCAUCCAGAGACUGCUGGAUCAGUAAAGGACUCAAAAUAAGGACAUUAUAAAUACAAUGUCAUGCACACCUUCAUCUUGUAAGCUGUGUGAGCAAAUGAUCUUCAACAUGGCAGUCUAAAGUAAUGCAAGAAAGAAAGACCUCUUCUGUAUUUAACACAGUAGCAUGUAAAGUUGUGAUGCUGAAUAUCCCACAUUUCUUACAUCAGAAUGUCUAAGACUGAAUCUGGGCUUUAUGCUAUCAGUUGUACUUCUGUAAAAACUUAAGUGGCAAAUUGUCUGAUUUGAGGGCAUCAUCAGUAUUAUUUGGGUUUUGUUGCCAGUCUGUGAGGUUAAAGGUGUAAAUAUCUAAGUUGAGUGUUAAUAAGUUUGAAACCACCACUCAACCCAUUUGAGUUCAGAUAUAUACACUUAAAAGGGCAGGUGCAACAAGCCAAAAAUAAAAUUAAUAAUAAUGUUGUCCCCUGUUGAAGAAAUAGACAAAUCUACAGAGGCACAAGAGGCCAGGUCCAGCUCCAGAGAGCAAAGACUAACAGAAAAGGGGCAGGAGAUGCAUGAACAGGAAGCCAAGAAAAAUGAAAGGUCAUUUAGCAAGGCAUAUGAGUACUGGAAGGAGUUAGCAAGAGGAGUUAGAACAAAGCUGAAAGGUUUCUGCUCAAACGAAGACCUUGUUAGAACACAAACGGACAUUAAGGCUAAAGAAGCAUUAAUGCAUGAACUGUAUGAGCCUAUCCGACGUAAUCAUACUUCUACUCCAGAUGUUGUCAAGAAAAUGGAUGCGUGUGUUGCCCUAACAACAGAAAUUUGUGAUCUCAUUAGUAAACGACUAGAAGAUAUAGAUAAGACUUUUAAUGACAGGCUCGAGAAGGAGCGUGUAAGGAUGAUAUUAAGUAAGGAGGAGUAUGGAUCUGUUUUUGGGAAAACUGAAACAGAAACAGUUAUUUCAGAGCAUUCAAAGGGCUCAGAUUCAUACUCUGGAGCCACAUCUACGACUUCUAGCAAACGUGUGGAUGCCGAAGCUGACCUUGCAGCUAAACUAGAACAGGCGAAGGCAAUGCAACGAAUACAUGAACAGCAAGCCAAGUUGAGUAGCUUAGAGCAUGAGUGGAAAAUCAAGGAAGCACAAAUGAUUGCAGAAAUGACAGCAAAGCUAGAGGAAGAGAGAACUAAACUGCAACAGCUACAGGCAGAAAAUGAGGUAAAAGUAGCAGCAGCCAGAGUGAGAGCUUACAACAACUACGAUGGAUUGGAAAGCCUUAAGUAUGAAGCAGAUGACAAAUCACAACUUGAUAGCCAAAUCAUUGAAUCUCAGAAUCCAUUGAAUCCACAGGCUGAAUCAUUUCGACCUCAGUGUGCACCACCUGAGAUUUUGCAAAAGCAACAGGAGGUCAGCUUAACACAGGAGCUUGCAAGCUUGUUCGUCUCCAACCGUCUGCCUGCACCUGAACCCACAGUGUUCACUGGUAACCCUUUAAAGUUUAUAGACUGGAAGAUAUCCUUUAUGGCAUUGAUUGGCCACAAACCCCUCCCCGCAGGCGAAAAAAUGUUGUACUUGAAAAGUUAUCUUGCAGGUGAGGCACGGAAGGCGGUCGAAGGAUUCUUCUAUCGAAACUCAGAAGAUGCAUAUCAGGGUGCCUGGGAGAUUCUUCAGGAGAGGUAUGGAAGUUCAUUUGUCGUCCAAAAGGCUUUCAGGGAUAAACUGAUGAAAUGGCCAAAAAUAGCUCCCAAUGACCCAGUAGCCCUCAGAGAGUUUUCAGAUUUCCUUCAAAGUUGUGCCGAGGCCAUCCCUCAUGUUAAAGGGCUGGCAAUUCUAAAUGAUUGUGAAGAAAAUCAUAAACUUCUCAAAAAACUACCCGAAUGGCUGGUACGCAGAUGGGGUCGCGUUGUUGUGGAUGAACUAGACAGAUGUCAAGAGUAUCCACCAUUUGCUCAUUUCACCAAAUUUCUACAAAGGGAAGCUAGAAUAGCCUGCAACCCCAUUGCUUCUCCCUUCUUAUUAACCACUAAAGUAACAGAUGAAAGGCUUCCUAAGAGAACCAAGGCACUCAGCACCAAUGCUCAAGCUAAGCACUCUGCAGGUAAACCAGGGACCUUAAUUUCAAAGCCAAGACCACCAUGCUUCGUCUGCAACGAUGAAACACACGGUGUCGCCAAGUGCCCAACCUUUGCCACAAGGCUUCCUGAUGAAAAGAGAGCUUUCAUUCGUGAAAACCGUCUUUGCUUCGGCUGUUUAAGAAAGGGUCACACUAGUAAAGAAUGCAAAAGAAGGCACACAUGCACUAUAUGUGGUCGAAAUCAUCCAACUUGCUUGCACAUAGAGAGAAUUGAGGGAGCCAGUGAAAUGUUAAACAGUGAUUCACCAUCUGCAGGAAAUGAGACAAAGGAAGUCCGCAAUGUCAUGUCACACACAUUGACAAGAUACUCCUCAGCUACGUCUAGCAUUGUUCCAGUUUUUGUGUCAUUGGCAGAAGACCCCCACAGUGAGAUUCUCACAUAUGCUCUGCUCGACACACAGAGCGAUUCAACUUUCAUCUUGGGAGAUCUGGUCUCUGCACUAAAUGUGAAGACUCAGCCAGUGCAAUUAAGGCUCAGUACAAUGACAGCAGUAGACACAGUCAUAGCUAGCAAAGUGGCUUGUGGAUUGCAAGUUCGUGGGCUCCAUAGUGAGUCGCAUGUUCAGCUACGCCAGGCAUACACAAGGGAUUUCAUCCCAGUCGAUAAGUCUCACAUUCCUACAAAGGACACCGCACUUCAGUGGCCACAUCUGAGGCAACUGGCAAACAAGCUGCAGCCACUUCAAGACUGUGAAGUGGGAUUGCUGAUUGGCUAUGGUUGCCCAUCAGCACUGGCCCCUCUAGAAGUCAUUGUAGGGUCAGAAAACCAUCCAUUUGCUCAAAGAACCGUGCUUGGCUGGAGCAUCAUAGGAUCAGCAAAUCCAUAUCUUGAUAGAAAGGAACAUCAAAGCUUUGUACACAGAGUGGCAGUAAAGGAAAUGCCAUUGCCUCCGGUCAAUGAUGUGUUAAAGGUCCUAGAAAUGGAUUUCAGCGAAAGAAACUAUCAAGAUAAAUAUGUUUCUCAAGAUGAUGUUCAUUUUGUAAAACUCCUCGGCAGCACAAUCACAAAAAGGAAGGAUGGACACUAUGAGAUGCCACUUCCUUUCAAGGGCAGCUCUCCACCCAUGCUGCCAAACAACAAGCGACUGGCUGAAGCUCGUUUGCAACACCUCAAGAGGAAGUUAAGGUCCAAUAGGCAGUACUAUGACCAUUACACAGCAUUCAUGGAGGAAACCAUCAGCAAAGGUGUUGCAGAACCAGCCCCCCCAGCACAUGAGGGAGAGACAAUUUGGUACAUCCCACAUCAUGGGGUGUACCAUCCUAGGAAACCAGAUAAACUUAGGGUGGUCUUCGACUGUUCAGCCAAGUUUCUGGGCAUCUCUCUGAAUGACACCUUAUUGACUGGCCCUGAUCUGAUAAACUCUCUAGUAGGAGUUCUCUGCCGCUUUAGGAGGGAAGCAGUAGCCAUCACCUGCGACAUUGAAAAAAUGUUCCAUCAGUUCUAUGUUCCACCCAACAUGCGGAACUACCUGAGGUUCCUAUGGUGGAAGGGCGGUCAGCUGGAAACAGAACCCCAAGAGUAUAGAAUGGCGGUGCACCUUUUCGGUGCUGGUUCUUCUCCAGGGUGUGCCAAUUUCGGCCUUAAAUAUCUUGCACAGCAAUGCGAAGCCGAUUAUCCUUCGGCUGCUGCUUUCAUUGAAAAGAACUUUUACGUUGAUGAUGGACUGACUAGCGUCCCAUCAGUCACAGAAGCUACAGACCUGAUUAUCAAUGCACAGCAGCUGUGUAAGACUGGAGGUUUACACUUGCACAAAUUUAACUCGAACAAGGUGGAGGCGCUAUGUGGUGUUGCGCCUUCAGAAAGGGCAGUAACCACUGGACCUCUCAACCUUAGCCUGGAUUCAACAGCGGAGGGUCACGUACUUGGCAUUCAGUGGUCAAUAGAAAGUGACACCUUCAGCUUCAACAUUGACAAAAGGGACCAACCCUCAACUCGUCGUGGUAUCCUGUCCGCUGUCUCCUCCCUCUACGACCCUCUUGGUCUUGUAGCUCCCUUUAUCCUGAGUGGUAAAUGUAUUCUCCAGGAGCUGUGUCGCAUGGGCAUAGGUUGGGAUGAUCAGCUUCCCGAUAGCCUACAUGCACGGUGGGAGCAAUGGAAAAGGGAUCUACACAGGCUAAAGGAAAUAGCGAUACCCAGAUGCUACCAUCCUCCAGACUUUGGCAACAUAGUGAGGGUGGAACUGCAUCACUUUUCAGAUGCCAGUAACAUAGGUUAUGGUGCAUGUUCCUACCUCAGAUACAAGAAUGAAAAGGAUGAAGUACACUGUAGCCUUGUGUUAGCCAAAGCAAGAGUUGCACCAACAAAGCUCAUGAGCAUCCCAAGGCUGGAGCUUUCGGCUGCAGUAAUCUCCGCAAGGCUAAGCGUCAUGUUAAAAACAGAGCUCGGCAUGCAGAUUGACGAGGAAUUCUUUUGGACUGAUUCCCAAGUUGUAUUGGCCUACAUCAGCAAUGAGGCACGGCGAUUCCAUGUGUUUGUCGCAAAUCGUGUUCAGCUAAUCCGAGAAACCACAGACCCUGCUCAGUGGCACUAUGUGGAUACGGCAGAAAACCCAGCUGACCACGCUUCGAGAGGUCUAUGUGCAGGGGACAUUCUGUCAACGAACUGGUUAUCGGGUCCUAAAUUUCUAUGGAAACCUGAGAUACACCCAACACUACAUUUUUCACCAGAUUUGCUAGUCUGUGACCCUGAAGUUAAAUCGGUGAAAACCUUUGCCACCCAUGCCAAUGAGCAAAAUGACAUUCUGAACCGUCUAAGCCGCUUUUCCAGCUGGACAACGCUCAUCAGAGUAGUUGCAAGAAUUAAGAGACUAGGCAUGAAGUCAGAUCGUGUCAGCAGCAUUGUGACGGUAGAGGAAAGGAGAAAAGCUUGUGAACUAGUAAUCAGUCUGGUUCAGCGACAAGCCUUUUUGCAAGACAUAAAGACACUUCAGAAGGGCAACUCUCUUCCAUGCUCUAGCCCCCUAAGUUGUCUUGAUCCCAUCUUAGAUGAAGGACUUCUUCGUGUCGGUGGAAGACUGACAAAGGCAACGCUCAGUCGAGAACUAAAACACCCGGUUAUCCUUCCAAAGGAAAGUCACAUUACAAGACUAAUACUGUCUCAUUACCAUGCCACCAUCUGUCAUCAGGGUCGCAGUCAAACCCUAGCAGAACUCAGAGCAAAUGGGUUUUGGGUGCUUGGGGGAAGCAAAGCAGUUGCCAAGUUAAUACAUAAAUGUGUGCAAUGUCGAAAACUUCGGCGCCCCACCGAGGAGCAACGCAUGGCAGAGCUCCCGAAAGAAAGGACUGAAGCCUCCGCUCCUUUCUCGUACUCUGGUAUGGAUUGCUUUGGUCCAUUUUCCAUCAAGCGGGGCCGUAAGGAGUACAAAAGGUAUGGGCUUAUCUUUACAUGCCUGUCUUCACGUGCUGUUCAUAUCGAGAUGCUAGAAGACCUAUCAACAGAUGCAUUCAUCAAUGCCCUUAGAUGCUUCAUCAGCCUCAGAGGAGCUGUUUGCCAACUCCGCUGUGACCAAGGCACAAACUUUGUAGGAGCCAGAAAUGAGUUCAGAGAGGCUCUCAAACAAUGUGACAUGCAGGCACUGGAGGCUUUCCUGGCAGACAAACAGUGUGAGUUUGUUUUCAAUGCUCCUUCUGCAAGUCAUGCUGGUGGCAUCUGGGAACGCCAAAUUAGAACCAUUCGUAAUGUGCUAAAUGCCACUACUGCUCAGUGUGCAGGAAGACUAGACGAUGCCUCUCUUAGAACUUUGUUUUAUGAGGCCAUGGCUAUUGUAAAUAGCCGCCCCUUGACUGUGGGCAGUAUCUGUGACCCAAAGGCACCUGAACCUCUUACUCCGAACCAUCUUAUACUGAUGAAGUCCAAAGUUGCUCUACCACCACCUGGGAAAUUUGUGAGAGAAGACUUGUAUGCAGCGAAGAGGUGGCGUAGAGUACAAUACUUAACUGAGCAGUUCUGGGGUAGGUGGAAAAGAGAAUACCUCAUGAAUGUCUCCACAAGACAGAAGUGGCACAAAACCCGCCGUAAUCUAAAAGUGAAUGACAUUGUUAUCAUCAAGGAAGAUAUGUUACCAAGGUGUCAGUGGCAACUGGGGCGUAUCGUUGAAACUAUCGAAGGCGAUGAUGGUUUAGUCCGUCGGGUCAAAGUUCAAGUAGGAGUCCAAAGUCAGACCAAGAAACAGGACCGUGCUUUCAAGCCCCCCAUCAUCGAGCGGCCUAUUCAAAAACUGGUGGUUCUUGUUGAAAGAGAAUAAUAACAACCAUGUUAUUAUCUGAGAGGAACUGACAUACUGACAUAAACAAUGUAACAGUCCAGGUGGCACCUGCUCUAUGAUGUUUGUACACCUGUAUAUUGGUUGAAGUGGUCUCAUUUUGUUGUUGUUCAAAUCAUGUAUGAUUAGCUAGUUUGUAAAUCAUAGCAUGAUUGGUGGGAGUGUAAUGAACCGCUGAUCUGUACCAUAAGUCAUCCUUGCGGGGGUUGUCGGAACUGUAUGCGCAGUCGCACUAAGGACAGAUGUGCUCAGAGGCAUGCCCCGUAACGCGUAUAGAGCAGUCUGUCGCGGCAGGAAUAAGUUGUACAAAGUCCAUGUAAGUUACGAUAAUACUUUGAUAAGUAUGAUAAGUGUGUUUCUAAUGUAAGGUAUGUUGCUGCGUUUGUAUUGUGAGCUAUCUGAAAACCUUUUUAUUCUGUAUUUACGUUACUUACAUCCAUGUGCUAUUUUUUAGCUAGACAUGUGUGUCAUGCAAGCUAGCAGCACCCCAUGAGAAACGGGCCGAAGUGUUUAAGUGUUUACCGGAGUUUUGCACCCUUGGCAAGCGGACUGAGUUUUCACGGUGCUCAACGUCCAGAGAAUGAGCCGUGUGUGGUGAGGAAAUAAAUGGCUGCACCCGUUAGAGACU